rnacentral:rRNA from 1 species
UACGGGCCGCAGCAGGCGCGAAAACUGCACAAUGUGGGAAACCACGAUGCGGGAAACCCAAGUGCCAGCACAAUGUGUUGGCUGUCCUCAAGUGUUCGUAACUUGGGAAGAAAGUGCUGGGUAAGACGGGUGCCAGCCGCCGCGGUAAUACCCGCAGCACAAGUGGUGGUCAUUAUUAUUGGGCCUAAAGCGUCCGUAGCUGGCUUGUUAGAUGCCUGGGUAAAUCGAUGCGCUCAACGUAUCGAAUUCCGGGUAGACCGGCAAGCUCGAGACCGGGAGAGGUGUAGGGUACUCGGGGGGUAGGGGUAAAAUCCUGUAAUCCUCCGGGGACGACCAGUGGCGAAGGCGCUACACUAGAACGGCUCUGACAGUGAGGGACGAAGCCCUGGGGCGCAAACCGGAUUAGAUACCCGGGUAGUCCAGGGUGUAAACGCUGCAGACUUGGUGUCGGGGAUCCUACGAGGGUUCCCGGUGCCGUAGAGAAGUUGUUGAGUCUGCCGC